AAAACAAAUAUUGUAUGUACAUCCUAAUUGCUAAGAUUUUUACAGUCAAUAGGCCCAUGCUUUCCACAAUACUGGAUCCAAAUAAGUCCUAAUUCCAAUAUUUGGCAUCUUUACAGAGAGACAGAGAUUAAAAAUGAAGAGACAAAAAAAAAAAAAAUGAAGAGACAUGCAGAGAGUGCACCAUGUCAUCAUGGAGGCAGACUGAAGUGACACAGCUGCUAGUCAAAGAGGAGUACUGAGGACUUCCUGAAGCCACCAAAGGAAAGAGAUGGCUGUCUUCAUAUUCGUUCUAGACAUUGGUUCCUACUCAAGUCAAGGCAAGUCAUCUGACCUUCACCAAGAAAGCCCAACAUCCAGGAAAUGGAAAUUGUGUGUUUGGAUAUGCAUGUCUGACUAUGAAAGCUUGGGUCUCCUUCCAUCUGACCUGAAGAAAUUUCAUCAUACCUGCAAUGGAAAUCUACUGCUCUCCACCCCACACUCACCCUCUUCGAUUUUCCAUGUCACAGGAUUUACUAAAUACCAUCUAUCAUAUGCGUAUUUGACUUGUGCAAGUUCCUGGGUCUGGUAGCACAACCUCAAAAUCUCAGGUACUUGGGAAGCUGAGGCAGGAGGAUCUCAUGUUUAAGACUUGCCAAGGCUGUGGUGCAAACUUGAAGCUAGCCUGGUUAAGGUAGUGAGGCCUUGCCUCAAAAGAUUUAUAUAGCUGAAGAAGCAAGGGAGAGUGCUUGCCUAACAUGUGUAAAGCCCCAAAUUUAAUCCCCAGUACCACAGAACAAUAAUGUACAUAACUAUAAUAAACUCUACAUAGUAAACUUUUAUAAAUAUAUUUCAUGAACUGUGAAGAGAUAGGAUCUGUUGUCCAAUAAGCAGGAACUGACACGGUUCCCUUGAAAAGUGUGUCUGCCAAAGCAUUUUGUGAUUGUAAUCACAGAAAACUUAGAGAAAGCCAUUCUUGAUUUCCAUGCCUCAGUUUAUAAUUUACUGCCACUCAUUGGAAACCAGAGCCAGGGUUUUUCAAACCUUGAACAUUACUUAAUUUUAUAGUUGUUACAGAGCUUUUUACAAAGCUUAACACCUUGCUUGGUCAGAACGGCAUCUGUUGAAUAAAUGAAUAGAUGAGCAAAUGAGUUGUUGAUGGCAAAUGAGUAUGUUUGUCGGGCUUUAAAGGGUUGUUUUUCUAUAAGCAUGGGUGUGUUUGUUUUCUGGAUACACUGACUGACAGAGUGUGACAUUAUUACCUUCUGUUUACAGGUGAAGAAGCGGAACUGUCUAGAGACUUGCUCAAGUGGAAGGCACCUCCCACACCUGCCCUAUGCAGUCAGGCCUUCUGUGCACACAAUCAAUUGCCUGGAUUAAUGUCACUGGCUCCUGAAGUGUCCUGCUACGCAGGCAAUCCACUCUGAUUUGUACUUCUAUUGGUUCUUAGAAGAACUGGGUAGUUUUCCAAAUGAACAGUAGGACAAAUCCCUGAAGCCUGACAUCUGAGCUUCCAGAGCCUCCCCUCCCUUUGGACUCAAUACUAGGUUAUAAGAGAAUGUGGGAAGACAGAGCCACAGCAAGACAAACAGAAGCGUUCCAUCACCCUCUGCGUUACAUCGCACAUUCUUUAAGAAAACCAUCCACCCAAGGCUAAGACACAAGCCAGAAAGGAAGUUCUGCCCCAGAGAUGGAUGGAGUUCUCAGCUCAUAUCUGUGGUCUUGACUUUUUCCUACAAUGAUCAUCUGUGCUGGCCCUCCACAGCCUCCAUCACUGUGAGAAUCCACCUGCUCUCCCUGGGAGAUGAAGCCAAUGCCUCCCAUGCCAUGCUCUCUGGGGAUCAGCUCUCAGCACGGAGAGCCUGCUCCAGCCCCUGAAGCAGAAAGCUGCUACUCAACCAAACACACAGGCUAACAGCUGGGAUUAAAUGACCUGAAAGAAAAAUGAGAGCUCCCAACUAGAGGGAUCACUUGACUUAGAAGCUGGAAGAAUGAAGCCUUCUCACCCAGAGUGAAGGUAUGAUCUAGAUUGCUCCUCAAAAUGUCAAGAAUGAUGCCUUUCAAAUCACAUCCUCUGUAAAUGCCCUCCUACAAGCUCUAACCUGUAAGACUUCAGCCUGAACGACAAUUCAUCUCUACCCAGCUCCCCCAACCUUCACCCCAGGAGGCUUCCUCUUACAUGGGGAUGAGACUUGGGAAGCCAUACGCCUUCUCCGCUGAACCCUGAACAGUACCUGAAAUCAGCGAUCACAAUGAAGCGACUGGCAUAACCAGCCACGAUCUUCUCCUGGGUCAAGCAGCCUCUGACAGGAAAGAAGAUUAGAGUGAGAUCAUCUUCAUUUGGGAAGUAGGAUCAGACUUGGGAGUCCCAAAUAUGCUCAAUCCUGACACUUAAAGAGAAAUCUGGCUUCCGUUUUUAAAGAGCCAUUCUCAAUCCUAUAAUGCUCCUUUCUAGUAAAUGGAAUACACAAACAUCUGCCUGUGUCUGGUAGAAACCUAGAAAGUAGACAAUGGUUCUAUUCAGGCCAAGCACUUCCCCUCCAACAGGCAUCUAAGCAGCACUGUGUUAGGGAGAUGACUCUGGACGUGCCCUCAAUAGAUGACCAGUUUGGAACACCUGCCCUGUGGACUAUGUGAUAGCACAUGGCCAGGGAUACUGAGUCAUCUGGCCUAUGGCUACUGCUCCCAAAAUAAAUUGCCUCACACCUGCAACAAGGACUAUGUAAUACAUUUAAAAAGUGAAUACUGUGUCAUUCUAAUAAAUGUUACCAAACAAAGGAAGAGCACCCCCAAGGGAUUACGGACUUCACAGCUUUAACACAAAAGGCACAGACCUAACAGUCUAAGCCAAUAAUGUGUUGUGUGUGUACACAGAACAGCAAGAUAAGCCAUCUCACUGAAAAAGCUCAGGUUACCUGUCAGCAGAUAGACACUAAUGAUCAGAAAUGCUAAGCUGGCUCAAUGGCAUAUGGUAUCAGGCUGCUGACAGGAAGAAAAACUCAUGUGUAUCCAGAACAAUUGUUUACUCUGUACUCCAUUUCACUUUGCUAAAGGUUAGCUGACAUGUCUCUUUAGCAACAAAGUCCCCACAACACUCACCCACCACCCUUGAUGAGAUUGAGCUCAGCAUCCACUUCAUCAGCACCAUCAAUG